rnacentral:rRNA from 1 species
GGUUGCAAGCGUCUCAUUAUUAACUCAAAUACUCUGGAGGUAAUUGAAAUCAUGAACAACGAAGGACGGAUGGCGAGUACAACGGCGGCAGUGUUUGAUGACUGUUACUUUUUGGCUUAUGAUUUUUCCGUUAUUAGAUUCGAGCACCGUAAUAGAAAAGCCAAUAAGGUUGCCCAUAAACUUGCUAAGUUAGCUAAGUUUUCUUCAACUUUUGACUGGCUUGAGGAGCCUUUGAGUGAAUUGUACCCCUUCUAA